UCCCUGGUGGUCCAGCGGUUAGGACGUGACUCUUUCACUGACAGGGCCCAGGUUCAAUACCUGGUCAGGGAA